GGGCCGGUGCGGGUCGUUCCCCUCCGCUCCAAACUCCACACCUUUCCGCUUCGCACAAAGGCUGGAGUGGGGCAGCUUCCCCGGGGCGCUGCCCGCCGCCUGAGCCGCCCUCCCAGAGCCCGCCUGCCGGUGCUGCCGCCCCUGCGUGGUGCUCGUUGUCCCGCGCACCUGGCUGGCGGCGGGGGGCGGCUCGUGCGGGCUCGCCCUGCCCUUCCUCACCGCCGCGACCGUUAGUGUGACCGUUAGCGGCGGACAUUGAAAUGAAAAUAACUAUCCGUGCUCGACACAAAGAAGCUGAAGAUAAAAAAGAAAAUUUAAAUGGAAAGUGGAACCCUUAAAUAAUUUUCAAAGGACUACUUACCUAACAAUGGGUUCCAUGAAAUGCUGAAAGUUCAUCCACAUGUGAAGAACUCCAUGACCAAGACCUACAUUUAAAAAGUAGGAGGGAAAAAAGGAUCUUUGAAGCUAACCCUAAAAAGUGAUGAGAACUCUGGGGAAAUACAUACAAUGAAACACUUUAUAAUAUAAUGAAAAAAAGAAAGAAGCUAAUAGUAUGUGAUUCAUAUGAACUCAGUUUAUAGCUCUUAAAUCAAAAUCUGAAUUGAAAGACCUUCAAACUGGAUCAGUGUUUGAGGCAAAACUGGUGAGCAGCGUGAUCCAGCAGGCAGUCAUUAGACAACGUCAGACUGCAGGCCAGGACAUCAGACAGUAACACUGCCAUAAAAUGCAGAAAUUAUUUUAAACUUUUCUUGUUACUGGUAUUUGUGAACUGAAAUUGUUAUUCUUACUAAAAUAAUUUUAUUUCACAGACAGGUAUGGCUGUAAACAUGAGAUCAUAGAGUGAUGCUUAAAUUUUAGUGUCUACUCCAGAAAGCACUGAGAAAUUUAAGACAUAUGAGUUACUGGAGAGUGUAGUUAGAGUGGCUGCUUUCAGAUAAUUUCCAGCUGUGAUUUGUAAAUAACAUUUUUCUUUUCCUUCUUGCUUAAAGGUAAUUAUGGCUGUAUAAGAAAUUUAAGAAGGAAUAGUUUACCUUUUUCUCAUUUAGAGUGCUUGGCAAAGGAAAGCAUCUCACUUUAGAGGUGGAAAACCUGAGGAAUGAUGAGAUAAAGUUGCUUAUCCAUGAUUGCCUAGCAGUUCAGUGGCAAGAACAAGAAACAGAACCCAACAGAGCUGAUUAUAACAUGGUGUUUUCCUUGCAAUGAGGAAUUCUGAGAUUUUGGAAAAACUUUUGCUGAGCUGACAGAAGAAAGGUAAACCCCAAAUAUUUUCAUAGGACACAAACUGCCCUCUCCUUCUCCUGCCUGUUAAAGAGAGGUCUGUCUCAGGAGAAACAAGACUCAUAUCUUCAGCUAACCAUUUAUCUUCUGGAAGGCUUGUUGUCCCCUGGAGAGUAGAGUUGAUAGGAACCCCUUGCACAGGCUGCCAAAGUCUGAGUGCUGUGGCUCUCCCUGACACUGGCUUGGAGAAAAGAAGAUGGUUCUCUUCUCCCUCCCCACCCUGACUUCAGUUCUGUGGUUUUGGGCCUUGAAGAUAUUUGUCCAUUAUUUUGACUGUUUCCUGUGAGGAGAAACAGCCCCUUAUUCGUACGUCGGUCUGAAUAAUAUUUUGUCUGUUAAGCACCUGGCUUUUUACAGAGCCUGUCACAUUUUUCAUGUUCUUCUGUUGCCUACUAGGCCCUAAUUUUUUAAUUUUUUUUUUCUGGUAAGCUAGGGCCUGUGGGUCAGGUGCCCAGUGUGAUGGAUACUAUACAAAAACAUAGGAAAGGCAGAAUUCCUGGCACAAAGAGAUCAUUUGUGCCCCACAAUUUUGCAACUUUUAAAUGUGUAGAGCGGCAUUUGUGGAUCAUGUAAGGAGUAAGGCAGGGCCUUCCUUCCAUUGGUGGUGUUCUUUUGUAUAGACACAGGCAAACUAUCUAUGUACUCUUCCGUUCUGAUACUGCUACAGAGCUCAUUAAAUCUCCUUUUUGCAAGCAAGGCCUGAGGGCUAUUAAUUACUCAGUUUUCCAUGUAUAAAAUGGGAAGAAUGCUGCUAAUCUGUUGACAAGUCUGCAGGAAGCUGUCCAACUGUGAAAUGAUACUGAAAAUUUCAUUUUCUCAGAGAUAUUGUCAUCUCCACACUUUUUUCUUUUUUUUUUCUAAAUAAGUUAGGAAAGCUCUUCUCAUUACCAUGGAGACUAAUAUUUUAUUGCAAAGAUUGUAAUUGCAAGCAAGUUUCAAGGUUGCAAGCAGAUUUUCCAGAAAUCAGGUCAAUUGAUGAAGUACCUGCACUCGGUGUCGGCUGCUGCAGUGCACAUCACUUUCGUUCCAAGUCUUAUUUACAUUCCAUGCCCCAGGGCUUGGCUGCCAGCAAAUCAAUUGUGGAAUUGUUGUGCUGUGAUAGAUUCUGCACCAGGAUAAUAAAGGAAAAAUAACUUAACUGAAGGGUAAACUUGCUUGCAUCUACCCCAGGGUAUGUCGGAGUAGCAAGGUAUAAGCAGGCAGUGACUGCAAAGGGGUUGAUGCCCCACAAGAUCAUAUGUUGGCUUACCCAUAGCCGGUUGUUCCUGUAGCCACAGCAAAAGAUAGAUGGCUCAGUGCAUCACAAAUGAAGGCCUGCCUAAUAAUAAGCAUCUCUUGCAAUUAUUCAGUUUGAUUUACUGACAAAGGAAAAGAAAGAAAAAAGCUUACUGCCUUUUUUCCUCACUUUUUUUUUUUAACACACAAAAAAAGGUUAAUUAAUGUCAAAAAAAGGAUAAAAAGAAUAAGAAAUGGCUGCAGUCUGCACGCUGGAAGAUAUUAACAAUGCUCUUCAGUCCCACUCCCACUCCCAUGAAGAGCUUUCAGCAAGUUUGCCUCUUUGAACUUUCUGUAGAAACCUUCAGGCAGAAUCUAAGACACAGAGAUUUCUUGACUGCAUCCCGGUGGAAGGACGCUUCCACUCUUGUUUCUUACUUUUGUAAUUAUUCCCUUCCACAUGAGUCAGAAACUUCAAGAAAUUCUUCCACAGAUGCAGUGGCCUGCAUGCUAGAAAAUGAUCUAACAUAGUCCAGUCAUGGCUAUUUUUAAUAAAGAUAUCCAUGGCUUUAAAGCACCCUUGACAACCUACAUGCAUUUUGAGCAUCUAUAUAUUUUUCCAGUAUCUGCCUGAGGACCCAGUUCUGAAAAGUGCCAAGUACUCUUGCGUGUAUUGACUUUAGUGGCAGUAGCUGUAUAAAAGUGGAUCAAACCUUGGUGAGGAAGAUCGGAACCAGGCAGAACCAUAGUCCUAACUAGUAUCUACAGACAUUCACAUUAUCUUCUAAAGCUUCCUUUUCCAAAUGUGAUUAGUUUGGAAACCAUUUUGCAAGAUAUCAGCCGCCUCUGAGCAAGUUUGCUGUUUCACAGGAUCAAGCCUCGGUAACACCAUAUUUUUGACCUAAAAUGCCAACAGUCUGGUGUGUCACAAGGAUGCAAUCCUAUACUCACUUGGCUAAAUUAUCUCUUGGUACAACACUACAGUGAGGUGUCAGAAAAUAUGCUUGUGGAUGUUUAGUGGACUGACCUUUUGGAAAGAGAAAAUUAAUCCAAAAGGAGAAGUUUUCUGCUCACUAACAACAGAAAUAAAUGCAGAUGAAGGGCCUAAUAUAAGACUGCUAAACCUGUUCGAUGCGAAAUGGUAAUACAGGGGUUUAGCUGUAUUACCCUUGUUAAGUUCUGGGUUUCAUGAGAACUGAUAUUGGAACUUAAUAUUCUGAAAAUGUAUUUUAAAAUAUAUUAUUUUCUUAGUGUGUUUUAU